rnacentral:rRNA from 1 species
UACGUAGGGGGCAAGCGUUGUCCGGAUUUAUUGGGCGUAAAGAGCGUGUAGGCGGCCGUACAGGUCAGCUGUGAAAACUCGAGGCUCAACCUCGAGACGUCGGUUGAAACCGUACGGCUAGAGUCCGGAAGAGGAGAGUGGAAUUCCCGGUGUAGCGGUGAAAUGCGUAGAUAUCAGGAGGAACACCUGUGGUGUAGACGGCUUUCUGGACCAUAGCUGACGCUGAGACACGAAAGCGUGGGUAGCAAACAGG